rnacentral:rRNA from 1 species
AUUGAACGCUGGCGGCAGGCUUAACACAUGCAAGUCGAGCGGGGGAAGGUAGCUUGCUACCGGACCUAGCGGCGGACGGGUGAGUAAUGCUUAGGAAUCUGCCUAUUAGUGGGGGACAACAUCUCGAAAGGGAUGCUAAUACCGCAUACGUCCUACGGGAGAAAGCAGGGGAUCUUCGGACCUUGCGCUAAUAGAUGAACCUAAGUCGGAUUAGCUAGUUGGUGGGGUAAAGGCCUACCAAGGCGACGAUCUGUAGCGGGUCAGAGAGGAUGAUCCGCCACACUGGGACUGAGACACGGCCCAGACUCCUACGGGAGGCAGCAGUGGGGAAUAUUGGACAAUGGGGGGAACCCUGAUCCAGCCAUGCCGCGUGUGUGAAGAAGGCCUUAUGGUUGUAAAGCACUUUAAGCGAGGAGGAGGCUACUCUAGUUAAUACCUAGGGAUAGUGGACGUUACUCGCAGAAUAAGCACCGGCUAACUCUGUGCCAGCCGCCGCGGUAA